AGAGAGACCCUCCUGUAGGUUUUAACUCCAACCCUGUUCCUGGAGAGAGACCCUCCUGUAGGUUUUAACUCCAACCCUGUUCCUGGAGAGAGACCCUCCUGUAGGUUUUAACUCCAACCCUGUUCCUGGAGAGAGACCCUCCUGUAGGUUUUAACUCCAACCCUGUUCCUGGAGAGAGACCCUCCUGUAGGUUUUAACUCCAACCCUGUUCCUGGAGAGAGACCCUCCUGUAGGUUUUAACUCCAACCCUGUUCCUGGAGAGAAACCCUCCUGUAGGUUUUAACUCCAACCCUGUUCCUGGAGAGAAACCCUCCUGUAGGUUUUAACUCCAACCCUGUUCCUGGAGAGAGACCCUCCUGUAGGUUUUAACUCCAACCCUGUUCCUGGAGAGAAACCCUCCUGUAGGUUUUAACUCCAACCCUGUUCCUGGAGAGAAACCCUCCUGUAGGUUUUAACUCCAACCCUGUUCCUGGAGAGAGACCCUCCUGUAGGUUUUAACUCCAACCCUGUUCCUGGAGAGAGACCCUCCUGUAGGUUUUAACUCCA